ACCAGAACCAGGACCAGAACCAGGACCAGGACCAGAACCAGAACCAGGACCAGGAUCUGCUUCGUUUGGACCCGACCUCCAGCAGAACCUUCUGGACCGCUGCUGGAGUUGUAAUUUAUUUUUGUCUGUAAAUAAAGAUGGCCGCCGCCUCCUCCGCUCCGGUGGGCCUCCUGCUCCUGCUCCUGGUUUCCGUGGAAACGAGGCCUUCACCUCAGCACAACGAGCAGCAGGUGUUUCUCUCUCUGUUCGGCUCUCGCCUCGCCUCCCUCAUCGAGGCCACGCCCCCGCCUGAUGACAUCACAGAGGGCUCCGCCUCCUCGCCAACCUCCCCGCCUCUGCUGCUGGC